rnacentral:rRNA from 1 species
GACGAACGCUGGCGGCGUGCUUAACACAUGCAAGUCGAACGGAAAGGCCCUGCUUUUGUGGGGUGCUCGAGUGGCGAACGGGUGAGUAACACGUGAGUAACCUGCCCUUGACUUUGGGAUAACUUCAGGAAACUGGGGCUAAUACCGGAUAGGAGCUCCUGCUGCAUGGUGGGGGUUGGAAAGUUUCGGCGGUUGGGGAUGGACUCGCGGCUUGUCAGCUUGUUGGUGGGGUAGUGGCUUACCAAGGCUUUGACGGGUAGCCGGCCUGAGAGGGUGACCGGCCACAUUGGGACUGAGAUACGGCCCAGACUCCUACGGGAGGCAGCAGUGGGGAAUAUUGCACAAUGGGCGGAAGCCUGAUGCAGCAACGCCGCGUGCGGGAUGACGGCCUUCGGGUUGUAAACCGCUUUCGCCUGUGACGAAGCGUGAGUGACGGUAAUGGGUAAAGAAGCACCGGCUAACUACGUGC